GUGUGUAUGUCUGUGUGUGUGUAUGUGUCAGUAUGUCUGUGUGUGUAUGUCAGUAUGUCUGUCAUAGACACACACAGACAUACUGACAUACAUACACAAACAGACAU